CAACGCAAAGAACAUUGCUCGGCCAGUCGAAUCGGGUUUUAGCCUAUCCAAGCAGUCCGACCCGACAAAAAUUUCAAAACCCUAGCUGCCAUUUCUGUUCUCCAUCAUAAUACUAUAUAUACAUCCCAUAAAAACCCUAGCUAAACACCGCCUUCUGUGAACCUCACUGUGUCUCUCACUCUUCUACUGUCCAGCUCCAAAAGGCAGCGGAAUUUGAAGAAAAUGCCGCUUGUACCUCAAGAUUUGUUGCUCUUUCGGCACCUUAACAUAUUUUGACAAUUGGAGCUUGAAGAAUCAAGGCUGGAAAGUGUCAAGGUGGAACCAGAUGCAAAAGAUCAAUUAAUUUGGGGGGAGUCAACACAUGGACAAUACUCUGUUAAAAUUGGCUAUAUCAAUGCUUACAAAACUGACAGAACAGUGGAUGUUUGGACAUGGAAGUCGAUGUGGAAGAUUAAGAUACCAGUCAAUCCGCUGUUGCUUGCUUUUGGUUGGACAGCCAUUCUUGAAAGAUGCUUGACGCACGACAACCUAAAUAGAAGAGGAUUUUAUCUGCGCAGCAGGUGCUACAUGUGUCAAAAAGAUGCAGAAGAUAUUCCUCACCUUCUACUCCACUGUGAAGUAGCUAGAGAGUUAUGGAGCGGGCUCUUAAGUAUUUUUUGGGUUCACUGGAUGCCGCCCUACAACAUUAGAGAUGCCUAUGCAAUCCGGGGUCUUUGGAGAGUUAGGAAUCUCUUGUAGGAAAUCUGGUUAAUCACUCCAGCCUGUAUAUUUUGGUGUUCGACAGAAAGGAAGUACAGAUGCUUUGAUGGAGUUCUAACUCCUAAUCACUCCCUCAAACCUAGGUGUUUGACUAAGCUUUUUCGCUGGUGCAAUCUGCACAAUGUAAAUAGCAUAGAGCACAUUGAUUUUGUUAGCUCCGUGAGCCUUAUUUAAGAACUCAAUGAAUGUGUAUUGGAGCUAAUCUUGUAUUUUGCUCUGCAUCCUCUAGAUGCUUAUCAAUGAAAUGCUUUAUCUAAAAAAUAAUUGGAGCAUGAAGUA